CCUACGGGAGGCAGCAGUGAGGAAUAUUGGUCAAUGGACGAGAGUCUGAACCAGCCAAGUAGCGUGAAGGAUGACUGCCCUAUGGGUUGUAAACUUCUUUUAUAUGGGAAUAAAACGUUCCACGUGUGUGAUUUUGUAUGUACCAUAUGAAUAAGGAUCGGCUAACUCCGUGCCAGCAGCCGCGGUAAUACGGAGGAUCCGAUCGUUAUCCGGAUUUAUUGGGUUUAAAGGGAGCGUAGGUGGAUUGUUAAGUCAGUUGUGAAAGUUUGCGGCUCAACCGUAAAAUUGCAGUUGAAACUGGCAGUCUUGAGUACAGUAGAGGUGGGCGGAAGUCGUGGUGUAGCGGUGAAAUGCUUAGAUAUCACGAAGAACUCCGAUUGCGAAGGCAGUUCACUGGACUGCAACUGACACUGAGGCUCGAAAGUGUGGGUAUCAAACAGGAUUAGAUACCCUUGUAGUC
rnacentral:rRNA from 1 species